CCAUCAUAUCAGCUUCUCUCUUAAAACCACCAAAUUUUCUCUAAAAUCCAUUGUGACUGCUCCGAAUCAAAGCAAAUCACAUCGAUUCCUUUUGAUUUUUGCUCAAAUUCAACGAAUUUUAUUCAUAAACUUAUUUAAAAUAAGUUAAAUUGGGCAAUUUAAUUAGAAUUUUUGCAAAUACGAACCCUAUUUUGGCAGAAGAACAAAUUGAAGAAAAUUUUGAAUGGAGGUUGGCGAAGAACAAUUAAUUCGUACAGAAAUUUGUUCUAAAAUGCAACGUUCGAAUUGUUGCAACUUGCAGGGUUAGAAGGAAUCGGAUAAAAGAAGUCUCUUUAAUUAAUGGGCCUGCUACCAAUUCGGUGCUGUUUGGUGUGCUGCAAUGUGUGGCAUGGCUGUGAGGACAGUAGCAGCAGCUUAGUGUUGGCUAGGAAUGAUGGCUGCAAAAUUCUAAUUUCAGCGAUAUUAGCUAUUUGCAACAGUGUGGCGAGAAAGAUAAAUCAUUUACUUAUGAGGUAUAGCCUAAACUGCAUUAGCUAUGAAUACUCAGUGCAUUAUAUUACAUAGAAAUAUCAUGUUUCCUUUUUAGGUUUUGUCUAUUAUUUCGCUUUGUAUAUGUAGUAUCAGGAACAGAUGUACAGACCAUACUACUGUUUAGUUUUAUUUAUUUGCAAUAUGUGUAGUAUGUAAAGAAAAUCAUCGAGGUUUAAGUCCUCAUUUAUACUGGUUUGUUUGAGUCCUCUUUUUGCUAAAAUUUACUUGAGAACUGCUAUGGUCUGUAACUCCUCAAAAUUUUACAGGACAAUUAGGCAACGACAGCAAUUUUGUGAUAAUCACUCUAACACUGAAGUAAAAUCAUAGCAUGUGUUGAAUAAUAAUUUCAAUUUUUGUGAUUUGUUAGGUGAUUAUAGUGGAUGAUGGAAGCGUUGAUGGGAUCAGAAGAGUAGCUUUUGACUUUGUUAAAAAGUACAAGGUGAAAAAUGUUAGGGUUCUUCUUCUUGGAAAACACUAUGGGAAGGGGGAAGCUAUUAGAAAAGUGAGUAACAAUUCUUUGUUCAUUUUAUCAAAUGAGCAAACAAUUCUUUGUUGAUUUAUCAAAUGAGCUGAUUAAAAAUUUAUAACAUAAAAAAUGAUUUAAAACAUAUGAUAAACCUAUUAGCUCAAAUGGUAAAGCACUAUACAAAUGCAUAGGGGAUGUAGGUUCAAUUCCUACAUAGGUUAUCUCUAUAAACAAAAUUAAUUAAAAAAAAAAAAUCAAAUUCGUACUAAACUAUAUGAGCGAAAAAAUGAUUUGAAAUGAUUUAUAACUAUAUAAACUUUGGUGCAAUUAAACUCUCAUACAAACUUGUGUCUCCACAUCACAUAAAUGAACUUACGUGGGAUUCGAACCCACAUCUUUUGUGCAUUUUCACAAUGCU